rnacentral:rRNA from 1 species
UACGUAGGGUGCAAGCGUUUAAUCGGAAUUACUGGGCGUAAAGCGUGCGCAGGCGGUUAUGUAAGACAGGUGUGAAAUCCCCGGGCUUAACCUGGGAACUGCAUUUGUGACUGCAUAGCUAGAGUACGGUAGAGGGGGAUGGAAUUCCGCGUGUAGCAGUGAAAUGCGUAGAUAUGCGGAGGAACACCGAUGGCGAAGGCAAUCCCCUGGACCUGUACU